rnacentral:rRNA from 1 species
AUACGGAGGGUGCGAGCGUUAAUCGGAAUUACGGGGCGUAAAGCGUACGUAGGCGGUUGGUUAAGUUAGAUGUGAAAGCCCCGGGCUUAACCUGGGAACUGCAUUUAAAACUGGCGAACUAGAGUUGAGUAGAGGGGAGUGGAAUUUCAGGUGUAGCGGUGAAAUGCGUAGAGAUCUGAAGGAACACCAGUGGCGAAGGCGACUCCCUGGACUCGAACUGACGCUGAGGUACGAAAGCGUGGGUAGCAAACGGGAUUAGAAACCCGAGUAGUCC